rnacentral:rRNA from 1 species
AUUGAACGCUGGCGGAAUGCUUUACACAUGCAAGUCGAACGGCAGCACGGACUUCGGUCUGGUGGCGAGUGGCGAACGGGUGAGUAAUGUAUCGGAACGUGCCCAGUCGUGGGGGAUAACGUAGUGAAAAUUACGCUAAUACCGCAUACGAUCUAUGGAUGAAAGCGGGGGAUCGCAAGACCUCGCGCGAUUGGAGCGGCCGAUAUCAGAUUAGGUAGUUGGUGGGAUAAAGUCCCACCAAGCCAACGAUCUGUAUCUGGUCGGACAGGAAGACCAGCCACACUCGAACUGAGACACGGUCCAGACUCCUACGGGAGGCAGCAGUGGGGAAUUUUGGACAAUGGGCGAAAGCCUGAUCCAGCCAUUCCGCGUGCAGGAUGAAGGCCCUCGGGUUGUAAACUGCUUUUGUACAGAACGAAAAGGUUUCUACUAAUACUAGGAGCUCAUGACGGUACUGUAAGAAUAAGCACCGGCUAACUACGUGCCAGCCGCCGCCGUAA